rnacentral:rRNA from 1 species
UACGUAGGGUGCAAGCGUUAUCCGGAAUGAUUGGGCGUAAAGCGUCCGCAGGUGGCUAUGUAAGUCUGCUGUUAAAGAGUGAGGCUCAACCUCAUAAGAGCAGUGGAAACUACAUGGCUAGAGUGCGUUCGGGGCAGAGGGAAUUCCUGGUGUAGCGGUGAAAUGCGUAGAUAUCAGGAAGAACACCGGUGGCGAAAGCGCUCUGCUAGGCCGCAACUGACACUGAGGGACGAAAGCUAGGGGAGCGAAUGGG